ensembl:lncRNA
GGAGGAUUGAGCACUUAGGUUUACCUGCUACAUACCUCUCCCAACCCUCCAGAUGUUGCUAACUCCCCUCCUCCUCCUCCUCCCCUCCAGUCAUCUGUCCAUCACUCUCCUGUGGGUCAGAGGUCCUCUCUGUCGCAGAUUGCCAGAAGAUCAAGAAUCCUCAUUAUCCUGUUAACUGUACAUUUAUCAAACAAGACAGUGGGGCUGCGGUGCCCCGGUCAUCAUUAAGGUUUAAUAGAAAGGGGGCAAAAUGGGCAAAGGAGCAGUAAAAAGCUGUAGCAGGAACUAGAGUUUCCCUUUAAUGUAUCUGAUAUCCCUGACAGGAUUAUUAAUCAGGAAACUAAAAGAAAUUUCUGGACCUUUUGCUCCCAGCUUCCUCACUUUAGAGUCUUUUAGCUAGUGGCAUUACAUAGCAACUGACAGGUCAUGAGGUCCACCGCUAAUUGGUUCUAUGGGGUUUUGAAUAACAAUGAGCCGAGCCCAAUUACCGUAGCUACAGAGAAGCACAGAUGAGAGAGUGUGUAGGAGCCCAGUAGACUCAGAGAGUGGAGAAUCGGGGGGUUUGAUGGGUUUGAAAGAAGGGGGGAAAGUUACGUUUCAUCCCUGCUGUGCCUCUCUCUCUUUCUGUAUCUCUAUUUCUGUGUAAGGGCAUUAAUGAGAUUUUCAAAUCAUCUGGCAUGUGCUCUAAUGGAGAGCUGAGCUGAACAGUAGCAUUCCUGCAGGACAGCUCUGCCUCAUUGACUAUUCCAUUUGAGAAAGACAUUCACAUGUUCUCUGGGAAUUAUUUUAACGUCCCAGUUAUCUCGCUCUUUUUGUAUCGCAUGUUCAUUUAUUAGUGAUAUGUUUUGCUUCCUUGUAUCUCACACGAGGAUCUAAAUUAAGGUUCCUUGAUGAUUGGCUCUAAGUGAUCUUCAUUGGCACUUUAAUGUAUUCUUCAAAGCUGUAGGCUGCUUCAAAGCGCCCAAUUUGUUAUGUAGAUUAUUCUCCGCUCUCUUUUGCUGCCAUGGCUGUUCCCACCACACAUAUUUUACUUAUUAUUUUUGCAAACUUGGAUAGAUUUGAC